AUAAGUCACAGACACGUGGCUCUUCUCUGGCUGGUGCGCUGCUGAGUCUAAACGGAACCACUGUAUAGGACAUUUCUGAUUAUCGCAAGCAAACAUGUCAUCAAGCUCUUCAGGCUGUCUGCAAAAUCACCACAACACAGAUUUUUCACAUGCCCUUCUUUUGGGCUGGAGAGUGUUACCUUGACCAGUAGCUCUGCUCGUAAGGAUCGAGUCCUUUGAUUCUCUUUAUUUUCUCGUCAUAUCUCAUCUUUGUUUUAGGCGGUAUGCUCCGACAAUGUUUUCUUUAGCCCGCUGCAUUUUGCAGGAUUAUAUUCAGUUUUUCACGCUAAUUUUCAUUAUUUUCAUGCCAGAACACAUAAGCCUCCUAUGCCAGACCAUGUUAACUGGCCAAACGUACCCAUAAUUCUUUGCGUUCUGAUGACGUUGCCGCCCAGUUGGUCACACGUCUUAGCGAUCUCCGAAUGAACUCGUCUGAAAGAAGAAAGUCGUAUACACCUAGGAUGCUUCGAGGUGGAACAGGAAAGAGUUUGUCAGCAAAAUCCCAGCUCCUGGAAAGGACUAGGUGGAUCCUGUGCUUGACCUCUCCUCAUGUGCGGCUCCAGACCUCACGGAGACCCCGGCUAAACUAGCGACCUCGAUUCCUCAGUUACAGUAAAAAUAGCAGCUUGUCAUGUGCUAUACAAAUACAUACCAAUUUAAUUUGAAAUGAUUAACACAUAAAAAAAAUAUAAUUCAAAUUAUUAUAAAAAUGUUAAUAUAUAUAUAUAUAUAUAUAUAUAUUAAUAAUUAAUAUUUUACAGUUUGUAACGUACACAUCAUAUUAACAAAAACAAAAGAAAUACUUCUAAUUGUGAGUUUAUAAUUUUGUAUGACUUCGGGUUAAUUCUGAACUAUUUUUCAGAAAUGUGGACAAUGUUCAAAGUCCAAAUGUUGACUCAAACUGUAUACACAUUUCAGGUAGGUUAUAUGUAAAUGUUGACUCAAUUUCUGUUUCACCCAAGUUAUAAGAAAAAAAAAAAGGUUUUUAUUGUACUUAAGAAUGCACAUUAUAGGAAAUUACAUUGUAACAACGUGUCUUAAUGUAACAUGUUAAAACUGCUCUAAAAAUACAAUAUAAAGUACAGUGAUUAUGGACAUACUGUAAUUGUGCCAAUUGUAGUUGCACAAAGCUAAAUUGCAUAAAUAACUGAAAACAUGUUUUUGGAAAUCUCUGAAAAAUAUAUUUGGUCUAAACACUGAUUUGCAAAAUAAAUAAAAUGCAACAAUAAUGCAUUUCAUACUAAAUCAGCUCAGUGUUGCUAAAGUAUUUCUGCUACAAACUACAAAAUUUCCUCUUUUCUGCAUCAAGGCUAACUGCAUAAAAUAGCUCAAAUAAGACAAAAGAAGAGCGUGUACUCCAACCAUCCAUAUAAACAGUCAGCAUUCAAUUCACAACAUUAAUCUAGACACUUAAUGUCCACUUAAGGUCACCGGCUGGUCAGUUUUUUUUUUUUUUUUUUUUUUACAAGUAUCUUAUCCUCCUCACAACAUUCUAAUGCUGCAUAUAUUAAAUAAAGCUAGCAUACACUUAAAGCAUCAACUUGACUCUGUUAUUUCUCCACAAAACGGUUAAGGCGACAGUUUCUCUCUUUGCCAAGGCAAAGUCCAAAGAAAAAGAGAUAACACACAAAGAACAAAUUCUGUCAUUGCUACAGGUUUGGAGAUAUCUCAUUAACAGAUUAAUGUUCCCAUGUUUGUAGGUUAUGCCACAAGCUGAUUCAUGUGAAUCUAGUGUUAUUCAUUUGUGAAUGUACCCUUAAUGAAUGUAGCUGUAGUGUGGAUGAGACAUGUCAACAUGUCAUGCUUAAAUAUAUUAUGGAAAUUCAUUACAAUAUGAGAUAAAAAAAAAAAAAAAACAUAUUUGAUGG